rnacentral:rRNA from 1 species
UACGUAGGAGGCGAGCGUUGUCCGGAGUUACUGGGCGUAAAGGGUGCGCAGGCGGCGGUUCGCGUGGCGAGAUGAAAUCUCCUGGCUUACCUGGGAGGAUGGUCGCCAGACGGGAUCGCUUGAGGGUCGGAGAGGGGCGUGGAAUUCCGGGUGGAGCGGUGAAAUGCGUAGAGAUGUGGAGGAACACCGAUGGCGAAGGCAGCCCCCUGGGUCAAGAUUGACGCUCAUGCACGAAAGCGUGGGGAGCAAACAGG